rnacentral:rRNA from 1 species
GAGUUUGAUCAUGGCUCAGGACGAACGCUGGCGGCGUGCCUAAUACAUGCAAGUAGAACGCUGAAGAGAGGAGCUUGCUCUUCUUGGAUGAGUUGCGAACGGGUGAGUAACGCGUAGGUAACCUGCCUUGUAGCGGGGGAUAACUAUUGGAAACGAUAGCUAAUACCGCAUAACAAUGGAUGACCCAUGUCAUUUAUUUGAAAGGGGCAAAUGCUCCACUACAAGAUGGACCUGCGUUGUAUUAGCUAGUAGGUGAGGUAACGGCUCACCUAGGCGACGAUACAUAGCCGACCUGAGAGGGUGAUCGGCCACACUGGGACUGAGACACGGCCCAGACUCCUACGGGAGGCAGCAGUAGGGAAUCUUCGGCAAUGGGGGCAACCCUGACCGAGCAACGCCGCGUGAGUGAAGAAGGUUUUCGGAUCGUAAAGCUCUGUUGUAAGUCAAGAACGAGUGUGAGAGUGGAAAGUUCACACUGUGACGGUAGCUUACCAGAAAGGGACGGCUAACUACGUGCCAGCAGCCGCGGUAAUACGUAGGUCCCGAGCGUUGUCCGGAUUUAUUGGGCGUAAAGCGAGCGCAGGCGGUUUGAUAAGUCUGAAGUUAAAGGCUGUGGCUCAACCAUAGUUCGCUUUGGAAACUGUCAAACUUGAGUGCAGAAGGGGAGAGUGGAAUUCCAUGUGUAGCGGUGAAAUGCGUAGAUAUAUGGAGGAACACCGGUGGCGAAAGCGGCUCUCUGGUCUGUAACUGACGCUGAGGCUCGAAAGCGUGGGGAGCGAACAGGAUUAGAUACCCUGGUAGUCCACGCCGUAAACGAUGAGUGCUAGGUGUUGGAUCCUUUCCGGGAUUCAGUGCCGCAGCUAACGCAUUAAGCACUCCGCCUGGGGAGUACGACCGCAAGGUUGAAACUCAAAGGAAUUGACGGGGGCCCGCACAAGCGGUGGAGCAUGUGGUUUAAUUCGAAGCAACGCGAAGAACCUUACCAGGUCUUGACAUCCCGAUGCUAUUUCUAGAGAUAGAAAGUUACUUCGGUACAUCGGUGACAGGUGGUGCAUGGUUGUCGUCAGCUCGUGUCGUGAGAUGUUGGGUUAAGUCCCGCAACGAGCGCAACCCCUAUUGUUAGUUGCCAUCAUUCAGUUGGGCACUCUAGCGAGACUGCCGGUAAUAAACCGGAGGAAGGUGGGGAUGACGUCAAAUCAUCAUGCCCCUUAUGACCUGGGCUACACACGUGCUACAAUGGUUGGUACAACGAGUUGCGAGUCGGUGACGGCAAGCUAAUCUCUUAAAGCCAAUCUCAGUUCGGAUUGUAGGCUGCAACUCGCCUACAUGAAGUCGGAAUCGCUAGUAAUCGCGGAUCAGCACGCCGCGGUGAAUACGUUCCCGGGCCCUUGUCCACACCGCCCGUCA